GGGAAGGUGGCAGAGUGGUCGAAUGCGCCGGAUUCGAAAUCCGGUGUACCGGUCUCCGGUACCGUGGGUUCGAAUCCCACCCUUCCCGCCA
rnacentral:tRNA from 3 species